rfam:Piloderma croceum F 1598 unplaced genomic scaffold scaffold_00070, whole genome shotgun sequence.
GGACUGGUAUCUCAGUGGUUAGAGCAUCACACUGGAGUGAUGGGGUUCUGGGUCCAAUCCCCAGCCAGUUCA